ACUCCCACGCCCGAACUCUCUCCUCCCUGCCGCAGCCGCCAGGCUCUUUCUCUCUCUCUCUCCCACCCGAACACUCUCCUCUCCCCCAAACUCUCUCUUCUUUCCUCCCUGGAGCAGGUCAUCCCUUCCUCGCCGUCGGCAAGGACGGCAAGGAGGAGCUGCGCGGCGUCCUCCCUGCCUCGCCGGCGCCGGUUCCUCCCCUAGUGCCGCCCUCCCUUGAAGACGAGGGCCCCUCCGGCCGACCACUGGAGCAAGAUCUGGCACGCCCUCCUCCCUGCUUCGCGCCGUCUGCGCCGGCCACCGCCACGCCCGCCUCCACGCGCCUCCACCUGGGCUGGAUCCGGCCUCCCCCGUCCCCAAUCUCUCUAUGCUGCAGGAGCAAGCCCGAAGUAUCUUCAGGUCGGCCCCCAAUCUCUCUAUUUCCCUCUGGCACCUCUCUUUUCUAUUCAAGGAGCUCGCGGAGGAGAUGGUCAGGAGCUCACGGCGGAUCUGGCCACGGGCCCUCUUCGUCCGGCUACCUCAGUAGCGCGCCUGCCAUCGGAGCUCGCGGAGGAGAUGGUCAGGGAGCUCUCGGCAGAUCGACCCCGAAGACGUCGACUUCCACGAGUUCAUCUCGUUCUGUUUUUCAGUGAAUCUUUUCUUUUCAAGUGUAUGUUAAUCCCUAUUCUGGAUCUACGAACGGAGAUAUUUGAAUUUGUUUGAUUUGUGAGACGUUGAUUAAUAUGUUUAAUUUGUGAGACGUUGAUUAAUAUGUUUAAUUUGUGAUUUGGUGUUGAAUGAAAAACUAUUAGUGUCGGUCAUACAUGUGUGCCCGUCACUGAUGGGAGCGCGCAACGGGUACUCCGCCCGUCACUGAUAGGCAUCUGAUAGGCAUCGUCAGUAACAGGUGGUCCGACCGUGAAGUUAGCAGCAGGCGCCAGGACCGUUAGUAAUGUGUUUUUGUGACCAUUACCGAUACCCGUUUUUUAAGCAGUGAUCGCUGCUUCCUUGUAAUUUAACGGCCGAGAUUAAUUGGUUGUCGUUUUUUUUCGGCCCACGCCUUCUUCUUCCCAACUCACUCCUCACGGAUUCAUGGCCGUCGGCCGCCGCUUCCUCCGACCAACUCCUCCUCGUGGCCCUCGAGAGGCUAACCUGAGCAGCACCAAUUGAUGGGCUAUCCUAAUCCAGCCAACGUGAGAAGACACUCAACGACAUGGGAGUUGACUGUUGAGGGAUCAGUGCGAGAGAGAAGGUCCCGGCCCAAGUCGAGGAGCCGCAUGUCUUCACGACGCGGAGAGACAGGGCCGCGCUCGCCGCACGCUCCGAUUCGAUUGCGGGCCCGGGAACAGCUUCCCCGUCCGCAUCCACGUGUUGGGCCAAUGCAAGGAGGGGGUCGUGUCAAAAGAAGAAGAAGAAGAAGAAGAAGAAGAAGAAGUGGAAGGAGGAGGAGGUAUGCAUGGCUCAGGUGCUAAACUGGGCUGGUAUACUACUCCCAGACCCAGAGGAGGCGGCUAACUGCUUGUCUGCUUCCCUGCCCAGAACAAUCCCCUAAAAAGAACCUGCACAUAACAGUUGUUGAAGCAGAUGUUGUGUCCCUGAAGCAGGCUGUCUCCUCGGUGGAUUUCCAUCUGGCCCAACACUGUGUUUUCUUUUAUUUUGUUUGGAAGAAGGUUUUCUGUAACAGUACUUCUGUUCAUAUAUGGAGGGUUAAGUUCCUGCUGCA